rnacentral:lncRNA from 1 species
GCGACGCUGGGAACGAUCAGGAAGGGUAAACCCCUUUUUCUUCUCUAGUUCCUCAAAUCUUUAACAAAUUGAAGGUGUUUCUGGGUAUAAAUCGAAUGCAUGUGACCAAAUUCUCAACCAUCUAAGGGUUUCCUACAUAGGGAGUGAAAGAAGAAGGAGCUAAUUCCGGUUCGCAACAAAAGGCUCAAGAACCAGGUAAGUUCGAUUUACUUACAAGUUUAUGUAAUGUUAAUAGUUGUUCAAUUAUCAUUACAAAUCCAUGUUUAUUGCUAGAGUGAAAGAAGAAGGAGCUAAUUCCGGUUCGCAACAAAAGGCUCAAGAACCAGGUAAAUCCUUGACUUCAUAGCUUGGCGACUCGGAAGGAACACACUCGAUAUCACGCCCAUCUAGCGCUUCCGAAGAUGUCACAUUAGUAUGGUCUUAGUUUUGGUCAUAUGUAAUUUAACAUAUGUAAUCUUUUUGGUGUCCUUGUGAAUUGGGUAAAAACUUGGUUAAUAAGUAGCUAUUGUAUUAAAACAACUUAAACAUGUUGGUUUUGCUUUAGUUUAUGAAAAUGGGUCUUUUAAGUUA